AGAGAGAGACAUGCGCGCAUAUCAAUAAGCGGAGGAAAAGAAACUAACAAGGAUUCCCUUAGUAACGGCGAGUGAAGCGGGAAGAGCUCAAAUUUGAAAUCUUCAAGGUUCUACCUUGACGAAUUGUAGUUUAUAGAAGUGUUUUCUGUUAGUGGAGUGGCAAAAGUUCUUUGGAAUAGGACAUCAUAGAGGGUGAGAAUCCCGUAUUUGGUCAUUCCUCCUAGCGUUGUGAUACACUUUCAACGAGUCGGAUUGUUUGGGAAUGCAGUCCAAAAUGGGUGGUAAAUUUCAUCUAAAGCUAAAUAUUGGCGAGAGACCGAUAGCGAACAAGUACCGUGAGGGAAAGAUGAAAAGAACUUUGAAAAGAGAGUUAAACAGUACGUGAAAUUGUCAAAAGGGAAGCGUUUGACACCAGUGUUGUUUUUCCGAAAAUCAAUUACGAAUGUUUUGUUUUUGAGGAGUUAUGACUUCAUCGGCUUGCUCCUUUCUUUAUGAAACUUUCUUAAUGCACUUUUCGGUUAACAAGUCAACAUCAAUUUCAUUUGUAGUAAAAGGGUAUGAGGAAGGUGGCUUUCUUUUCGGAGAAAGUGUUUAUAGCCUUGUACCUCUGCAAUCGGAGAGAUUGAGGUCUGCAGCGUAGAUCCUUCGGGGUUAGAUACAUUUGUGCUAAGUUAUAGCUUUUCAUAGACAACUUGUUGACUAUGUUUAGUCUUGUAGCUUACUCGCUUAUCGCUAUUUUACCUACGCUUAGGAUGUUGAUAGUCACAGCGUGUAC
rnacentral:rRNA from 1 species